GAAUAAUGAGAUUGAGAGGAGAGAAGUUUACCUCCUUGGAAAGAGUUCCAUUGAGUCCACACUAGCAAAGAUUAAACCUUCAUAGAAGUCAUUACCCUAAUGAUUGAAGUUUGAAUAAAGUUUGCAUCCAACCUCCAGUUGGUUUAAAUGCCUCAACUCUGUGCAUGAAAAACAUUGAUAUGUUAGAAUGUGAUUCUCUGUCUAGUCGUGUUCUUCUUCCCAUUGUUGUUGCUUUUUAGACAGUUGCACAGUGCAGGGAGAAGCCACAUUUGUUGACUCCUAAACAUCAACCGUAAUUGUUGACAAAAAAAACCCUGCAGCCAUAUUUUAUUAUAAUUGAAUUACCAUAGACGCCAUUCCACAAAUAGAAUUAAUGCAAUGUUAAACGGCACAUAAGUCAUUCCACAUUUCAACUAUGAAUGAAUGCGACAAUUGUGGCUAAUAUUUCAUUGGUCAACAUCUGUGAUUCUCCCAAUGCAGUGUAUAAUGGUCUGAAAAGCGAUAUACAGGAACAGGGACGGAUCCAAGAUUGGAUCCACGAUCGGGCUACAAAAUUUCAAGCCGGGCUACUACGUGGAAAAAAAAAUUUUUACACAUAAAAAACUGAUUUUUUACCCCAAAAAAAUAAAAAAUACCUUAAAAAAAAAUUCUUGGACCUGGGGGGGGGCUACAGCCCAACCCAACCCCCCCAUAUCCGUCUCUGUAUAGGAGAAGAGAAGUGCGACCAAACAGAUUAACAUGUCUAAUUGUAAUCAAUACAAUAAGUGUCAUAUAUCAUAAACGGUCUCGAUUGUUGUUUAUUGUUUAAGAAAAUUAUCGAGAUAUUAACUGUUAGGAAUUUUGCGUUCUUUUGUGUAGUUGUGUGAAAGUGGCCAAUCAAUCAAACAAAAAAUAGUAAAGAACACCAAAUCUUGGUCACCAAGUUCGGCCAAAUGCCUAAUCUGGGGGGCUCAGAGGCAAGCCCGUUCACUAUGUGCAAAGUAACCCUUCAAGAGACAGUGAAAACAAUGAAAAAACCACAGACAUCGGGUUUGAUCAUUGAUCCAAAGGAUCUCACACAAAUCAACCCUUAAUCAACCAAAGCACAAACACUCAAACUGCCGACCAAAACCAGACACAACAAAUGGCCAAAACAACCGGCCAAAGUUACUGUAGCAGGAAGGCUUUCACAUCACACUUCUAAAUAUACAAUGAUUCUAUGAAAAACCACAAGAAUCAAAAACCCAAAAGAAGAAGGAGAUGAAGUUUUCUCGAAGAGAACUCAAAGCCCAGAGAGAGAAAAAUUUUGAAGUCAAAAACGUGUAUCACUGAAAAGCCAAUGGACCAUCCCUUGAUAAACACAAUUGAAAAAUCAGAUUGCAUUUCAAC
rnacentral:lncRNA from 1 species